UAAUGAUGAAAUGAGGACAAAGCAACCAAAAAAUACCUGCUUUUCAGAGACUGGUUCAAUCAAUCAAUAGACGAAAGACAUUAAAGGAUUCUAUUCCAUAUACAUAUUCUACGUGAUACUCUGCUUGGCAGCCCUCUCAAUUUCUUCUAAAUGUUCAGAAGGAUGUCAGAUUGUUUUGAUUGUAUCCUCCCAGUUUUCUCCUGUGAGAAGUAUUUUCUCACUGACCUGGAAUCUUCAGAAUUCUGAUAUAAUAUUUCUGGAAGAUUUCACUUGGGAAUUUAUUUCAGGUGAGUUGGGG
rnacentral:lncRNA from 1 species